AUUGAACGCUGGCGGCAGGCUUAACACAUGCAAGUCGAGCGAGCGGCGGACGGGUGAGUAAUGUCUGGGAAUCUGCCUGAUGGAGGGGGAUAACUACUGGAAACGGUAGCUAAUACCGCAUACCAUCAGAUGUACCCAGAUGGGAUUAGCUAGUAGGUGGGGUAAUGGAUCACCUAGGCGACGAUCCCUAGCUGGUCUGAGAGGAUGACCAGCCACACUGGAACUGAGACACGGGCCAGACUCCUACGGGAGGCAGCAGUGGGGAAUAUUGCACAAUGGGCGCAAGCCUGAUGCAGCCAUGCCGCGGGUGUGAAGAAGGCCUUCGGGUUGGAAAGCACUUUCAGCGAGGAGGCGUUACUCGCAGAAGAAGCACCGGCUAACUCCGUGCCAGCAGCCGCGGUAAUAC
rnacentral:rRNA from 1 species